rnacentral:rRNA from 1 species
GACGAACGCUGGCGGCGUGCUUAACACAUGCAAGUCGAACGGAAAGGCCCUGCUAGCAGGGUGCUCGAGUGGCGAACGGGUGAGUAACACGUGGGUGAUCUGCCCCUUACUUUGGGAUAAGCCUGGGAAACUGGGUCUAAUACUGGAUAGGACCAUGCUGUAGGUGGUGUGGUGGAAAGAUUAGUUUCGGUAAGGGAUGAGCUCGCGGCCUAUCAGCUUGUUGGUGGGGUAAUGGCCUACCAAGGCGUCGACGGGUAGCCGGCCUGAGAGGGUGGACGGCCACAUUGGGACUGAGAUACGGCCCAGACUCCUACGGGAGGCAGCAGUGGGGAAUAUUGCACAAUGGGCGCAAGCCUGAUGCAGCGACGCCGCGUGGGGGAUGACGGCCUUCGGGUUGUAAACUCCUUUCAGCCAUGACGAAGCCCUUGUGGUGACGGUAGUGGUAGAAGAAGCACCGGCUAACUACGUG